AAAAUACUCCCUCCGUCCCAAAAUUCUUGUCUUAAAUUUAUCUAAAUACGGAUGUAUCAAGUCACGUUUUAGUAUUAGAUACAUCCGUAUCUAGACGAAUCUAAGACAAGAAUUUUGGGACGGAGGGAGUACGUU
rnacentral:pre_miRNA from 1 species